UACAGAGGUCUCAAGCGUUGUUCGGAUUCAUUGGGCGUAAAGGGUGCGUAGGCGGCGCGGUAAGUCGGGUGUGAAAUCUUGGAGCUUAACUCCGAAACUGCAUUCGAUACUGCCGUGCUUGAGGACUGGAGAGGAGACUGGAAUUUACGGUGUAGCGGUGAAAUGCGUAGAUAUCGUAAGGAAGACCAGUGGCGAAGGCGGGUCUCUGGACAGUUCCUGACGCUGAGGCACGAAGGCCAGGGGGGCAAACGGG
rnacentral:rRNA from 1 species